rnacentral:lncRNA from 1 species
CCCGCCCCGCGCCGCCUCUCUGGUUUGUGCGCCCGUCGCAGGUCGCAGGCCUCUUUGUCAGCUGGAGUUGCGCGGGCUGACGCGCCACUAUGUAGCGGGUUUCGGGCGGGCCACGCGUGCGGGACAGGAACCCAACCCCAGCCGACCUUGAGCUCCAGGAGUUCGUCUCUUACGUCUGCGGAAGUGCAGCUGCCUCAGUUCUUAGCGCAGGUUGACAACUACAGGCACAAGCCAUUGAAGCUGGAAUGUCCUGUUGCUGGUAUUUCAAUUGACUUAAGCCAACUAUCCCUUCAGUUACAAUAGGAAAGUGCCUCUAAUAAGGCCAAAUAUGCGUACUAACUUGUAGCAACCACGUGUCCGUGCAGUGCCACAGGAGCUAGAGCAGUGACAAUGCUGGUGGCAACAGGGCAGUGUAGCAGGUGCUUCAUGUUCACCUUUUCAACCUUUUCAUUUAAUUGUCACAACUCGGAGGUGGAUUCUGUUAGGGACAGGCUGCCCCAGGACCACUCCGCCCCCGCUAACUCAAUGCAGCUGACCCUUACCCUGAAUACUCUGCAGCUGCAUUCCUGAACCGUUAUCUAGGCGCUAUAGCAAGGUCACCAGACUUGCUACACCGAAGCCCUCUGGGUGGCACGGGGGAGGUCAUGAGAAACGUGGAUUACACCCCCUUGUAAAUUCCUAUUUUCACAAGAUAAUAUAUUGUAAGCCGGUCAUGAGAUUAUAUGUGGUAAAGUUAAUUGACUAACAACCCCAGGGUCUCUCUCCCCCAUAUAAACCCCUCAUUUUGUAAGCUCAGGGCUGCCACCUCCGACUGGUGGAGAAGCCUGGCAGGUUAAUAAACUUACUUGGCCUGACCUUGGGUCUCUUGUCUUUUCUCUCGGCUAACCUUACAGAUUCUAUUCUCCCAUUUCACAGGUAAAGAAAUGGAUUAGUGAUAACUCAAGUUUCAUCACCUGUUUUGAAAGCAAAUCGACCCAUGCUGCAGGAUUAUCACAGGGUUGUUGCCACCCCUGAAAUAUUCCUUGUGGUAGUACUGAUUGCUGGUUAAGAUGGCUACAUUUAAAUACUCAUCU